rnacentral:lncRNA from 1 species
CUAUUUAAGCCUUCCUUUUCCCAUUCUCUUCUCCAAAGGCAGCCACUCAUCCCACUCAAAUGUACAGCCCCCAAAAUCAAAAUAUUAGGGUUCAUAUUCACAGCCAUGGAACCACCAUUUUAUUUGGUGGCUAUUGACGCAUGAACCACAACUAGACCUCACCAUCGAAGGCUCCACUCGAGGGAAUCUGGUAAGCCAAUUUAUUUUUCCUUUUUUUUUAAAAAAAUUUCCUAGAUCUGAUAUUGUUUGCUCAAGAAAAAUCAAACCGAAGUUGAGAACCUACAUAUUUAACAACAUCUGACCCUCACCCUUAUUUCAAUAUUUCAGAAAUAUUAGGGAUUUCAUUGGCGUCAUUUUGAGGCAUGAGGUCUAAUACUUUUUAGAUUUCCCUUCCAACUUCGAUCUCAACGAAGUGAAAUAGAGGUCUAAAGCCGAUUCACAAGGUAAAACUCGACUUCUUUUUAUUCUAAAAUGCAGAAUGAUGAAGGUAAUUGCAAGGAAAAAAAGAAAUAAAAAAAAUAAGGGAACAAAUUGAAAAAAAACCCGAAAAAUCACCCUUCAAGAAAUUCUUUUCGAAAAUUUUUGUACUCUUGUCUGCGUAUAGUGUGCUUGCGUAAGUAUCUGUUUUAUGUGCGUAAAAAAUUAUGGAUUACAUCACUGGCUUUUAUAUCCAUAUUUCCAAAAUAAAUAAAAUCUAAAAAAUCAUAUUUUCCUACUGUCAUUUGCUGUGAAAUCUGUUAUUGACUCCUUCUAGUGUCUUCUUUUGCAGUCUCAGUUGUACGGAGAAGAUGAUCCGGGGAUCUCGCGUGGAAAACCAUCCCUUUGGUAUUCUUCUAGUAUAUUCUAGGAGCUGCUGCUGAAAUUCUCCUUCUUUUGGGUUCUUUUGGGUUUAGGCUAGGAUAUGGAUUUAUUAGAGUUGGGUUUUAGGACAUGGGUUAUUUUUGUAUUUUGAAAAUUGUAAAUGGACCUUUUUUAGUCUUGGACCUUAUUCAUUUAUUUGGGUUUAUUUAUUUGCAUAUAAAUUAAAUGGGCCCGGGCAAAAUUGGUUGACUACACUUUCAUUCGUCAUUCAUAAUCAUACCACACAUAUAAAUGUUUCGAAUUCUUUUGAUUCUUUGUAUCUGCCUUCAUCUUCAUAACAGGUCCCCAGAUAUUAACGACACGAGUGACAUUGCUAGUGACUCAGAAUUUCCUUUCGAGUGAGAUGUGUGUAUGGAUGAUUCUCAGGAUUUUGAAGAUGAC